AAGGUGUGUCCAGCAGGAUCCUCCUACGAAAAAAGGCUUGAGGAUUUUAACAGAAGGGUUAACGAAGAACUGGUUAACUAUAAUUUCAAAAACAUUCAUCAAUUUAAACAGAUAUUCAUCCCUGUUCUUGCUGCAAAACACUUCUAUCUCCUAGUCAUCAACCAUUACAAUGCAACUGUGGAUGUAAUUGACAACAGGCCUCUACCAAGAAAUGUAAAAUUUGAGGAUAAAUAUGAGGGACACCCAGAAGUUGUGUUGGAUGCUUUUGCAAAAUAUAUGGGCACAUUUGGAUAUGAGGUAG